UUCCUGCUACUACAAGCCUCACACUGUGCUCGCGGGUCACGGAAGUCGCCUGCUGGCCGAGCUAGCUAGCCAACCCAGCGAGUCGCUGCAGCCUCCAACGCCUCCUCGACGCGUCCAAUCGCCGAAGCUGCCUUCGUCCACGCCACCACGGAAGCACGAGCUCUACGCAUGAAACCCCGUCCGAGCACUUCCGGUGACCAGCCAGGUCAUGUCGCGACCCCUCCCCUGCUCCUCUUUCCUUUCGUCCCAUCUUUUCUUCUCCUCCCAGUCUCACCUUGUUCCUCUCUCUGUGUGCAACCACGAAUAGAAGUAGCGAGCAGCGCCAGGGAAGGCUACCGUCAGGGGCAUCACCAGGGUCCUCCUCGACACCAGAUCUAGCGCCUCAGCACCACACCCCUGCCAUUUGGCCACCCUAAACGCCCGUGCUCGCCUCCCGACGCAUGGCGUUGCCUCUGCAUCCUCUACUUCGAGCAGGAGGUCCCAAUGGACAGCCGAUGGAGCUCCGCCAACAUUGCCAUGGUCAACUUCGACCUCUCCCGCGGCCAGAAACGGUGCCCAGCCACCGGAUCCGACAUCUUCGCACCUUCCCCGUCGUCGAUUUGCACCAGAUCGAGAGGAUCUCAACACUGUCGACCUCUUGUACCUCCCCGUUGACCUCGUCCCAAGUCCCAACCUCCACGUGGUAGACGACGCAACAGCGCCAGCCUCGCACGCGCCCACGUUCGGGCCAGCCAGCCCGGCCUUGGGCGGCCCAGCUGCGCGGUGAGCCCAGCUCGCACCUGGCCUAGCCCUGCCCACGGCCCACCAGCCUCCUCAGCAUGCCCCGCCCUGCCUCCUCCAUCGACCUGGGCUAGCCCAGCAUGGUGAGCCGCCCCUCCGCCUAUCCAGCGCCCAGUGCGCUCUGUGCUUAUCUAGCGCCCAUGUCCAGUUUAGGGUCCUAUUGCACUUUCGGCUGAGUGCAUGUUUAUUCCCAACGCAUUUCCUAUUUAUCAGAGCUUUAAUAAUUAAAGACUAAUGCCUGAUUUUAAAAUGGUAGUAACUUUUCAACCAUACCCCGGAUUAAAAUAAUUUAAAUAUGUAAAAUGUUCAUAAUUUUGUGUAGUUUCACAAUACCCAACUAUCAUGCUUGUUUAAAAUGUUUAAACUUGGUGUUUAACUAAAUUUACAUAGAUGUCAUGUUAAAACGGUUUAAUCUAUAACUAAUUAAUCAUAUGUUCGAUUAAAAUGUUCCUCAUAUGUAACUUGGCUAGAAAAAUGUGUAGAAUAACAUGCUAGCAUUUAUUUUCUGCUUAAUUACUCUAAAAAUUGUGUUAUAGGCAGAACCGUAACGAACCUUAAUUUGCAUGUGGUGACAUUCCGGAAUUGUAAUUUGUUGUUCCGACCUCAUUUAAACUUGCAUAUAAUUUUAUAUAGUUUCAUAGAAUCUUGUUGCAUCCAUCUUUAUCAUGUUUGGGGCUGUCAUUGUGUUGAUCAUAUCUUCUAGAGCGUAACUCCGUUUUACAUUGUCUAUAUAUGUAAAUCAACUAGAAUGACGUGUAGAAUCACAUUGUUCACUUUAUUUUAUUGUUAAAAUGUGUGUAGUGCAGAUAAGGACCAAUUUAGAAAUUAAUAUAUGGGGUCAUUUUGGAGAUGCUAUAUGUUGUUUGACACCUCAUUUAAUAUGCCUAGAUAUAUAGUUUAUUUAUGCUUCACCUCUUUUCAUGUUUAACAACAUUUAAUAUUGUCAUGUACCUAAAUAGGAGUAACUAAGUAAUUCAAAUAUGGAGUUUCAUCAUUAUGAAACUCAUUGCAUAUUGAGCUUCAUUUAAUGUAUAGUAAUAAAUUGUUGCGUGUUGUUGUGUCAUGCAUAAUUAAAUGGACAUGCAUAAUAAUUGCUCGCACAUCAUGUCAUGUAUAUGUUGUGGUGUUUAUCGUGUAUUGAUUGUUGUUUCUGAAUUUCUUCUUCUUCAUAGAGUAUUGAACCGUUUCGAAGUGUGAGGAUUCGUUUAACUACGUUGGUUCGUCUGUUUCAUGGAUUCGUUCUUUUCCAAGCACGAUCACAUGCAAGAUGNNNNNNNNNNNNNNNNNNNNNNNNNNNNNNNNNNNNNNNNNNNNUCCCUACAUACCAUUACUAUCAUUGCCAUGCUAGUUGUUUCGUUUUCUAUCACUAUGUCUCGCUACCUACCACUUAAAUGUUAGCCUCCCAACAUUGCCACGAAAAUCCUCUAACCUUUCCACAACCUAGCAAACCACUGUUUGGCUAUGUUACCGCUUGCUCAACCUUCUUAUAGCGUUACUAAUGGCAGGUGCAGUUGCUUCCAUGUGAAAACAUGGGUUCCUUGUUAUAAAACCAUAUUAUUGCUAUUUAAUCUAAUGCACCCAUUAUACCUGGUAAAAGGCGAAAGGUUUGGCCUUUUAGAUGGGUGUUUUGUUCCGCUUUGGCCGCCUUAUUUUUGACUAGCGGUGUUAAGUUUCAUAUUGAGCGCUCCUAACAUGCUUGGGGUUGUUAUGGGGACCCCCUUGACUUUCGUUUUACGAUAAUACUCGUCUCGCAAGGCCCAAGAUUGGUACUAUAUUUUCCCAAUAUAAUUAUACUGAUAAUUAAUUUGACACAUAGAGAGUUAGUGCUACCCGAGCGGUAAUUCAACAUAAUACAGGGAGCCAGUGCUGAUGGUGCUGGUCCUAAACAAAGUAUUGUGCGGGGCCAACCCAGAGCAACUUGGGAGAUUUCUAUAAGGCACCCGUAUGCAUAGCUUAUCUGUUGUGUCGUGCGAACGAGAUACGCGACUCCUAUCGGGAUCGUCGACACGUCGGGCGGCCUUGCUGGAUUUGUUUUACCUAUACCGAAAGUCUUGUGCGAGGAAUUCUGAGGAUACUUUAGGCUAUCUCGAGGUUGAGGUUUUCCACUAGGAAUCCGAGGAUAUCACGGGUUUUCUGUAGUCAAGGUUUCUGAUGCAGCUUGUGGUUGUUUGUGAUGGAAUAGUUAGAGCAUCCCUAUAGGGUUAAAUCUUUCAGAAAGCCGUGCCCGUGGUUAUGAGGCAACUUGGAAACUUUGUUUAAUAUCCAAUUUUAGAUAACUUGAAGUAACUUAAUUAAAAUAUGCCAACUAUGUGCAUAACCGUGGCUGUCUCUUCUCGUGAGUUCUGCAUAUAGAAGAGGAGACAAUGGGGUUAUGUGUGACAUAUGUAGGUGUUCAAGAUCACUUCGUGAUCACUCCAGUUCACGUCCGUUUAUGUGUAGAUCAUCCCCUUUUAUUCUUGUACUCGUCUGUUAGCCACACAAAUAAAUGCUUAGUUGCUUGAUGGAGCCUUACCACUUAACCAUACUUCACCCAUUAAACGUCGCUAGUCUUGAUACCUUUGUAAAUGAGAUUGCUAAGUCCGUGUGGCUCACAGAUUGCUACAACAAUAGGUGCAGGUAUAUGUAAAGCGAUAAUUUGACAUGAGCGCGAUGAUUGUUUUAUUUGGAGUUUCUUCUUCUUGUUGUUCAUCAUUCUAAGAUGUUUUCCAGGCCAGCAGCUUGGGAUAGCAAGGAUGCACGGCGUUCUUUUAUCAUUUGUUUUCAUCCGUAGUUGAACGCUCCUCUUCUACACGAUGAUUUAAUAUAUUGUUCUAUUGUGUUGUUCAUGUUGUAGCUUGUGGCGAGUGUAAGCCAAUUUCAUAUACCCAUCUCUUUUGAACAUGUACUUGUAAUGAUAUCCAUUCUUGCAAAAAUGAGGAGAUGCGCUU
rnacentral:lncRNA from 1 species